GUCAGUUGGUGACCAGGUAGAUGGACAUUAAACAUUGGGGAUGAAAACUCGAAUUGCUGACAAGUUUUUGGUGUGAGCAUCACAUCUCAACAACUAGAGUGAAGAAAUAAUUAUCUAGGAUGGCAAUGAAACACACUGAUCCUACAUUUAUAAUAUGGAUAAAAGAAGAAAAAAAAGACAGGAUCAAAAGUGGAUUUUAGUUGUAAACUCAGCCAUGGCAGCAAUACAAUGAAUCCACUGAAUGCAUCCUUCAUUUGACAGUGAGACAAACCCAAAUACAGUUGUCUUUCCCAUGAAAACUGCAGCUCAAAUUUUAGACAUACACCUAGUUCUCCCAUUUUAUGCUAAAAUCUGAUGAGAAAUCUUGUUAGACAGAGGUGAAUGGAUGAGCCAAUGAAAAAUAAAGACAAGGACUGCAGUGGGAGGUGCCCAAGAAUUUUUCUGACAUAAAAAGAGACACACAGACCAAUGGAACAGAAUAAAGAACCAGAAGCAAAUCCACGCAUCUACAGUGAAGUCAUUUUUAACAAAGCUUCCAAGAACAUACAUUGGGGAAAGACAGUCUAAUCAAUAAAUGGUGCUGAGA